CUAGAAAGCCAUAUCACCCUGUAGCCCAAAACCGGUUACUCGCUGAAGCUAAGCAGAGCUGAUCCUGGUUAGUACCUGGAUGGGAGACAACAUGGGAAAGCUAGGUUGCUGUUAAAA
rnacentral:rRNA from 1 species